rnacentral:lncRNA from 1 species
GAAAAUCUUAAAGACACCAAAUAAAGGGACAAUUUGAAAUAAUUAGUCUCUGAAAAGCCUAUUCAAAUUAAAAGAUAAACCUCCAUCUUAUUUUAUAUAUUUGCAUAAUUUAAAAUAGGGAGAUGAAAACUUCAGUGUUUAUUUUCCACAGAUCAACAUAACAUCUUUAAACUUAUUUUUCUGAUUAUUGGAGGAGAAACAUUUUCAGUAGCUUUGCCAAAAGGCUACUAGAAAAUUUAAAUACAUUUUUUUUUAAACUUUGGGAGAUUGCUGCUUAAUUAGAAUUAUGAAUUCUCUGCUUUCUGUUCAUCCCUAUAUAUGGAGUGUGUUGUAGCUUCUAUAAUCUAACCUAAUAUUCUAUAAAUAAAACACAGUUGUUGAUUUAUAUUACGCCCCAUACUUGAUAACCUUUUUGUUAUUGAUUUCCACUGAGCUCUUUCUCAUCCUGGUAAUUAACAACAUUUGUCUAUAGAAACAUCUAAUUUUUUAAAGUAUCAAUGUCAUUAAGAGAUAAAUUUCCAUAAAUUUUACUUUUUUUUCUUCUUUUUAGGGCUGCGCUCAUGACAUAUGGAAGUUCCCAGGCUAGGGAUCUACUCGGAGCUACAGCUGCUGGCCUUUGCCACAGCCACAGCAACUCGGGAUCCGAGCUGAUUCUUCACCCUAUACCACAGCUCAUGGCAACGCCAGGUCCUUAAUGCACCAAGCAAGGCCAGGGAUCAAACGCACUCCCUCAGGUUUGUUUCUCCUGAGCCACAAUGGGAACUCCUAAAACAUUGCAAAUUAAAAUUCAUUUUUACUGUAGAGGAAUAUGAUAAUGUGAACUUUUGAGAAUAAGAAUACAAAAUUGUGAGAGAAGUGGAAUGUAUUUUUUAAAUGAAGAUGGUGGAUAUUAAACAGGUAUGGUUUUUAGAAUCUAUUGGACAAAUUUGAGAGUGAUAGAAAAGUUGUUUUUUAUUUAUUUUUUUGUCUUUUUGUCUUUUUUUAGGGCUGCACUUAUGGCAUAUGGAGGUUCCCAGGCUAGGGGUCAAAUCAGAGCUAUAGCCUCUGGUCUAUGCCACAGCCACAGCAACACCAGAUCUGAGCCACGUCUGUGAACUACACCACAGCUCACGGCACCACCGGAUCCUUAACCCACUGAACGAGGUCAGGGAUCGAAACCUCAUGGGAGUUCCCGUCGUGGUGCAGGAAACCCCAUGAGGAUGUGGGUUUGAUCCCUGGCGUCACUCAGUGGAUCAGGGAUCCAGCAUUGCCUUGAGUUGUGGUGUAGGUCACAGAUGUGGCUUGGAUCCCGCAUUGUUACUAUGGCUGUGGUGUAGGCUGGAAGCUGCAGCUCUGAUUCGAGCCCUAGUGUGGGAACUUGCAUAUGUCUCGGAUACAGCCCUAAAAAGCAAAAGAAAAAAAAUUUGAAUCCCAGAUCUGCUUAAACAGUUUUUUUAAUGUGUCUGUGAGGAUUUUUCCGGAAGAAAUCAGCAUUUGAAUUGGUGAACUGAGUAAAGCACAUCACCAAAUGUGUGUGCACUUCAUAGACUCCUUUGAGGGCCGGAAUAGAACAAAAAGGUCGAGGAAGGUGGAAUUUGUCCUAUGCCUGAUUGCUGGAGCCGGGACAUCAAUUUUUCCCUGUCCUUUGUGCUCCUGAUUCUUAGGCCUUCAGACUCAGACUGGACUCUACAGCAUUGGCUCUCAGGCCUUUGAACAACAUUUCAGGCUUUCCUGGGUCCCCAGUUUGCCAAAUGUGGGACUUCUCAGCCAGCCUCCAUGAUCACUUGAGCCAAUACUUUGUAAGUCUCUCUCUGUAUGUGUGUAUCGUCUUUCUAUGUAUCUUUAUCCAGUUGGUUCUGUUUCUAAAAUGCAAGUGGUUUAAUCAGAACCUACAGCUUUAAAGGAAGCACUCUCUGGGACUGAUUGGUCAUAUCUCAAGAAGGAGUGCUUUUGAGCUGGUGAUUAGAAAUCAGGAGUGUUAUAGUUGCUACUCAGACUCUUAUAGAGGGGGAUGCAACCUGACAGGUGAUUGGAUGGUUCAAGUGGCAUGGCCCUGCAGGUGAGGGGCCCAGUGGAAAUAAUAUUCCAGUUGCCAAGGGGCAUAGAAGGGUAUGAGGCAGAGCCAGCUGAAAAAAGCUUGGAACCAUAGCUAGUGGACCAAUCCUGAUAGGAGUCUUUUUUCCUUCCUCUGUCCAAGCUCCACUUUAGGCUUCUGUCCUGCAGAAUCUAACCAGGGGCCAGUUGGCAAGGGAGUUGGAAAUUACAGUUUAUGCACCGAAACAACAUGAGCAGAGUUUUGUUUUUAGUUUUUGUCUUUUUUAGGGCCACACCCUCUGGCAUAUAGGCGUUUCCAGGCUCAAGGUCUAGUCAGAGCUGUAGCAGCUGGCCUACAAACAUACCUACAGCAACACCAGUUCUGAGCUGCAUUUGUGACCUACCCCACAGCUCAUGGCAAUGGCUGAUCCCUGACCUACUGAUCAAGGCAAGGGAUCGAACCCGAGUCCUCAUGGAUGCUAGUUGGAUUUGUUACCCCUGAGCCACAAUGGAAAUUCCUGAACAGAGUUUUGAAAGGUGUACUUGAAGCUGAGAGACAGUAAAUAGCUAGCAGAAUAUGUAUUUUUUGGUCAGUUAGCAUCCUUUUACAUGUUUCAUCACAAUAGUAACACCUUUUGCUUUUGUUUAACAAGAUGCAACUAUCUUUUUACAAACGAAAGUAUUUCCAUCCUCUUCCUCAAGAGAGGCCUACAGUCCCAACAGUCACCAUAGCUGAGUCUGAGUGAUGUUAUUUUCUGUUUUACUCAUUUCUAACUAAAUAAAUAUUCUGUAACAUACAGACCAAAUUGUAAAGUUAAUUAUUAAUAACAGUUCUUACAGAAAAUAGAGGGAUAAUGACAGGAAAGGAAAAAUAAGUAAAUAUAUAUCAAUGUGUACACAUAAUGAGGAAGCAUGAAAAUUUGCGUAACUACUGCUGUCGUGUGUACUUGUAAAUUCCCUUUUUCCUUUACCUUCAGCUGGCAUCACAGCCAGUCAGGUUUUUUUUCUGGUGGAGGUAAUCCAAACCUUUACUCCCAAGGGCUCUAAAUCUUAGUGGUCUGAGGGGUUUUUUUGUUUGUUUGUUUUGUUUUUUUUUUAAAUGUGAACAAAUAAAACAAUGCUUUAUUUCUAAUAUCUUUUAAAAAGUAUUCUAACAAUAUUUAAGGAGGUAAACCCACUUAUAUUUUUCUAUUAUUGUAUCAAUUUAAAGCAUUGGAAAAUCCCUGAAUUUCCUAGGACUGUUCUUAGUGGUCUGUCUUUAAUGUGUGGCUAUAGCUUUGCCUUAGCUAGUGCUGCCAGAUCUGGGAGUACUCAGAGACUGCCUGGGGCUCCAGACAUAAUCCUCCCUGCCUCCAGUGUUACAGCAGCCACUCAGUUUACCCUUAGUAAUUGGGAGCAAUUGCCCCAGGGAAAACAAUGAUCCUUUCUUUGUUAUUUCAGUAGCAGGAGAAGCUCAGUCUAGCUGGUGGAAGUCUCAUCUUCCAGUUCAUUGGAGCUGUGGUCAUGACCUCUGGUGGGAGCAUUCGGCCCUUGGUAUUAAAACCUCUAAACCAACAGCAAUCAAACUUGCAAGGAUGGAAAACAAAAAUUUGAGGGAUUGUAAUGAGCUAUUAUGGUGGAGGAACCUCUCCCACUUCUACCCCUUGAUCCAUGUAUCUGGCUGUGGAAGAAAUGAGUUCCCUACUUUAGUUUCUGAUCCUGAGAAGAGCACACAUCCUACAGAAUGGUGCCCUAGCCAUUCAGGUGUUCAGUGUGUUGUAUCCUGACAGCUGCGUUGACUGUUUUAUCAGCUCUGCUACUUUAGGAGGGAUAUCAAAAGUAUUUUGAUGUUGAUUGAAAAAAAACAAGAACAAAAAAACCCUAAUAGUUAAGAAUUAUGUUUUGGAGUUCUCUUGUGGUGCAGCGGGUUAAGGAUCUGGCAUUGUCACUGUAGCAGCUUAGGUCAUUGCUGUGUCAGGGUUUUGACCCCUAUCUGAGGAACUUCUACAUGCUGUGGGCAUGUCCCCUCCCCCCAAAAAUUGUUUUAUUUGGUGGCUUUCUAAGGACUUCAAGCCCAGGAGGCAGGACUCUCAGAUUGCUCUGAAGGACUGCUCCAAGGAGGCAGGAAGGGAACCAGGAUAUAUAGGAGUUUUUGCAACAAAGACCAGGUAGUUGGAACUUCAAAAGAUUACUGUUAAUUAAAGAAAACCGGGUAUCUCAAGGAAACUAGUGCUGCUCUGUGUUACGGAAGAUGCAGGGAUCUGGGCUCACGGAAAUCAUUCCUUUGAUCUGCACCUCAGCUACCUGGGGCCAGCCUCCUGAUAGCAGGCCUCUCAUUUCUAUCCUGAGUUCCCUCAGGGCUCACUGUGGGGUGGCUGUAAUGUGAUGGCCUGGUGGCUGCAAUGUCCUUUGUUUACUGAUAUGGCAGGCAAUAUUUUUCAUUCAAGUAACAAGACCUGUAAACUCCGUGGGCGUAAGCUCACUGGCACCUUUUUUUAGCUGAGAAAUGAAUUCUUUGGUCAGAACCAGUAUUGUGUAGAACAAACAUAAGUCCACAGAUAGUCUUUAUAUUUAUCUGUUGUUGCAUAACAGGUUGCUUCACAACCUAGCAGCUUAAAACAACAAACAUUUCACAGUUUCUGUUGGUCAAGAAUACAGGACCAGCUUAGCUGGGUAGUGCUGGCUCAUGGCAUCUCUUGAAGUUGCAGUGGAGUCCCACUGGGUGGAGCUACAGUCAUCUCUAGCCUUGAAUGGGCUUGAAGAAUCCACUUUCUACCUCACUCAUAGUUGUUGGCAGGCUGUAUUCAGUUCCUUCCAGGCUGAUAAACUUGCCCUUUUGUAGGGCUUCUCACAGCAAGGCAGCUAAGAGAGAGAGCCCAAAGUGGAAACCACAGUCUUUAUAACUUAAUCGCAAGUGAUAUUCCAUUAUUUCUGCCAUAUUCUGUUAACUAGGAGGAAGCCACUAGUCCAGUUCAUACCCAAGGGUGUGAGAUGACUCAAGGCUUGAGCAGCAGGAGUGGGGAUCAUUGGGAACCAUUUUAGAGGCUGGCUACAACAGAAGCACAGACCUAGUGGAUUUUGGAAUAGGUAGCUCUUCUUUUCAGAAACAGCUCUUGGUUUGCUCCUGGAUCCUGAUAAGAGACAAACUUUGAUCUGGGACAUCUAGAGACCAGAUGACUUGAGUGUCCCCUGAUGAACUGGAUGUUUUCUCAUCCACCAAGAUAUUAGAUCGGUUGAAGGUAUCAGCAAUCCAACAUGAGGUGGAAAUGAUGUGAGUAAGAUUAAGUGGAAGCAGCUCCUGAAGUCAUAAGUAUCUGACUGAGGAAGAAAAAGCCACGGCCUAGUUCGUCGAUGGUUUUCCCAGUGUGUUGGCACCGCCUGGAAGAUGGCUGCAGCAUUACAGCCAUGCCCAGGGAUGGGCCUGUGAGGUGGUUGUGAUGGAAAAUCCUCUCAGUGAGUAGAACCUUGAGCAUUUUGUCCACUCUGUCUGGAUUGAGAGAUGGUCAGAGUGCAAAUUUGCUGAUUCAUAGGCAGUGAUUGGCAGUUUGUCUGAAAGUUGGGGACUUGAAAGAAAAACAGUUUGGGGAGUUCCUUUUGUGGCUUAGUGGAAAAUGAACCCGACUAAUACCCAUGAGGACACGGGUUUAAUCCCUGGCCUCAAUCAGUGGGUUAAGGAUCCAGCGUUGCUGUGAGCUUUGGUAUAGGUCGCAGGCGAGGCUCAGAUCUCAUGGCUCUGGCUGUGGCGUAGGCCGGCAGCUGCAGCUCUGAUUUAACCCCUAGCCUGGAAACCUCCAUAUGCCACAGGUGCGGCCCUAAAAAGCAAAGGAAAAAAAAAA